UACAGAGGUCCCGAGCGUUGUUCGGAUUCAUUGGGCGUAAAGGGUGCGUAGGCGGCGGGGCAAGUUUGAUGUGAAAUAUCCCGGCUUAACCGGGAGGGGUCAUUUGAAACUGGUAGACUAGAGUACAGCAGAGGAUAGUGGAAUUCCCGGUGUAGUGGUGAAAUGCGUAGAUAUCGGGAGGAACACCAGUGGCGAAGGCGACUAUCUGGGCUGAAACUGACGCUGAGGCGCGAAGGCCAGGGGAGCAAACGGG
rnacentral:rRNA from 1 species